AAUAUUAGUGCAGUAGUAAUUGAACUUUGUACGAGAGGAACCGUUCAUCCGAUGAUUGGUAUUUGGGCCUGCCUGAGCAGACAAUAGCCCAAAGCUACCAUCCGUUGGAUUAUGGCCAAACGCCUCUAAGUCAGAACUUGCACUAGAUCGCAUCGAUACGCCUUUUCCAAUUUUUAGUCAAAUGUGACUAAACCUUCGGACCCCGAGUCAUAUUACAAGGGGUUGAUCUUGCAAAGCGGAAAGGCUCUGUGAGGAUCUUGCUAAUGUUAAUUUCAAGUAUUGGCAGAGAUAAAUCCAUUACAGACGACUUUAAUUGAACGGGGUAUUUUAAGCAGUAGGGUAGCCUUGUUGUUACGAUCCGCUGAUAUCAAGCUCAUUGUUUUAUAGAUUU
rfam:Mortierella elongata AG-77 unplaced genomic scaffold K457scaffold_60, whole genome shotgun sequence.